rfam:Fistulifera solaris DNA, contig: scaffold00185, strain: JPCC DA0580.
AAACCGGAGGUUUUUACCUCCACCCAAACACACAAAGUCCUUUUUU